CGGAGGGCACGGACGAGCUGUGCUGCCUGCUGCAGCUGCAGGGCUGGUCUGCGGGCAGCGGCGUGGCGCCGUCUGGCGCUGAGCUGCUGACUGCGCCGCCUGGCUUCGUGGAGGACGGCUGCACGCCAUGUCUGUCGGGUCCCUACCUGCACGCGGUGUGCCUGCCCAGCUGGGGCGCCAUCGUGCGUGCGCACCGCAAGGCGUCGGACGACCAUGUGCAGUUGCUGCGCGUGCGCGAGGGCGUGUUCGGGUCUGGCGGCGCGGCGCAGGCGGUUGCGAUCACGGAGGACAAGCUUGGCAUCCGCCUGCCCAAUGGCCGUGACGGCGACAACAACUAUGUGCUGGGUCUGGCUCUUGACACGACCGUGCCGCUGGACCCCAUCCCCAACCCUCUGAAUGCGGAGAAGCCGCCCCUGACGCCGCCGCCUGUGCUGCUGGUGGCGACGUCUGACGGCGUGCUGCGUGUGUACGGCUUUGGCCACGAGGAGCUUUCCAGCCCGGUGCGGCCAGGGCCCGACAGCGUGGUGCCGCUGCCGGCGGCGCCGCCCGCGUGGGCCACUGCCGCCGCCUCUCCAGCUGGGUUCAUGCCGUCUGGCUCGGCGCCGGACAUGACGGACACGGCCGCGCGGGCGGCGUUGCCAGAUGAUGACGAUGUGAGUGCGGGGCAGUGCCUGUGGUGGAUGAUCAGCAUCUUUAUUUGGCAUGUGCACCUUGUGUACGGUCUAAGGAAUACAUGACGGUGUGAGGCGGCUGAGGGAAUGAUCACGGCACAACGCAUCUCUCGCUUCAGGACCUGGAGGAGUCGGAGGGCGACGCGGAGGGCGGUACGGGCGGCCGCGCCAUGUCCACCGGCACGCAGUCAGCGGCGGCCGGCGGCGGCGGCUCCAUGGCGGCCUCGGGCGCGGGCGGCCGCGGCUCACCGCUGAGGGUGAGCGGCGCUGGGCCGGCUAGAGGGCUGGGCCGGCUAGAGGGCUGGGCCGGGUAGAGGGCUGUGGGUCAUACAGGCUACAAUCACGUGGCGUUGCGGUCACACACGGGCUAGCAAUGCCGUCCUCUGUGCGCCUUCUCUUGGCCGAGUCGUCCCGCUGCUUUCGUGUCCCCUGCACUCGCGCAGGCUUCCAGUAGCUCCUCGGCCCUGGCGGCCCAGGCAGGCCAGGCGGGCGGCAGCGGCUUUGGCUUUGGCGGCUUCGGGGCGGCGCUGGAGAGCCGCGCGGCGGCGGCGGCGCUGCCAGGCGGCAGUGGCGGCGGCGACGACGACCUGGCGGAGGAUGGCGACAGCGACGGCGACAGCGGCUCACAUGCGGUGGCGCGCCCGGGCGGCCGCCGCAGGCUUGCCAGGGGCAGCGACUCGGAAAGCGGGGAGGAGGUCAACUCGCCGGGUGAGUGGCGUGCGCGCACACGCAUUUGGUUGGUGUGCGGAGAUUGUGCAAGCGGGAUAUGGCAAGCGGGCAGCGUACGAGCGCCCGUUGGGGGCUUACGAAAUACGUCCCCCGGUCCCUCCUGUGUGGCGUGUGCAGGCACCGGCGGCAAGGCGCCCCCUCCUCGCGCCGCGCCACCCGCCUUCGGCAUGCCCCCAGCGCCCAGCAGCAUGACCUUCCCCGCCUUUGGCGCGCCCACAGCUGCGGCCGCGUCCGGCAGCAGCGGCGGAGCGACCAGCAGCGCUACAGGUCCCUUCGGCGGAGCCGGCGGCGGCUUCGGCUUCGGCGCUCCAUCCGCGUCCACGGCCUUCGGGACGUCGCUGUUCGGGGCGGCUGCGCCCGCAGCCCCGGCCCUGGGCUCAGGCGGGGGCCUCUUUGGUGCGCCCAAGCCGCCGGCCAUGCCGUCCGCCGGCUUUGGCUUUGGCAUGGGUGACUCGAAGCCACCGGCCGUGGAGGCAGCGCUGGUGCCGCCCAGUGCGGCUCGCUCCACCAGCAGCAGCGCCGCACCCGCGGCCCCGGGCGGCUUCGCCUUUGGCUCCGGCCCCAGCGCCGUCACCACAGGUGCGUCUAGCGCGCCUGCGGCUGCCGCCCCCGCCCCCGUGGCAGCUGCAAGCAGCGGCGCCAGCGGCGGUGGCUUUGGCUUUGGCUUUGGCAUGCCGGCCUCGCCAGGCGCGGCCGUUGCAGCGACCAGCACCGCCAGCACGGCGCCGGCCGCACCAGCAGCUGUUGGCGGCCUGUUCGGCGCGACCUCGGGCGCCACAGGCAAUAGCAGCGGCAGCAGCUCCGCAGCCCCCGCAACCACCACCACCUCGACCAGUGCACCGUCAGGCGGGCUCUUCGGCGCACCCGCCGCCCCCGCCCCCUCCGGCUUUGGCGCCCCUGCUGCCGGCGGCCUGUUUGGCAGCAGCAGCACAGCCCCCUCUGGGGGCCUGUUCGGCGCGCCUGCAGCUGGGGGCUCCCUUUUUGGCGGCAGCAACGCAACGGGCGUGUCAGGUGGCCUGUUCGGCGCCGCGGCACCCUCCGUGCCCGCGAUGGGUGGUGGCAUCUUCGGUUCCGCCAGCACCGGCGGCAGCACCACCGGCACCGCCGCCUCCAGCGGCGCGGCGCCCUUCAGCGCAGCCGUGGCCUCCGCUGCCGCGCUGUUCGGGGCCAACACCGCCCCCGCCACCGCAGCCGCCCCCGCCUUCUCCUUCGCCAGCACCGGCGCCCCCUCGGCGGCCCCUACGCCGGCGGCCACUAAGCCCGCCGCGUUUGGGUUUGGCUUCGGCGCCCCCGCCCCCGCCCCUGCAGCCGCUCCUCCGGUUCCUGCCGCGGCACCUGCGCCCACGCCCGCCCCUCCCCCCGCGCCCGCCCCUGCGCCGGCACCUGCGCCGGCCCCCAAGCCGGCUGCGCCUGCGUCUGCGCCUGCCUCUGCGCCCGCCCCGGCGGCGCCCUCGGGUCCUAAGCCCGCUGCCGUGAAGAAGGCGCCGGGUCCGGAUGUGCCGCCCUCCAGCGGCGAGCUGGAGGACGCCGAGGACGUGGGCUUUUACUUCAAGUUCUAUGGUGGCAUCGAUUUCUGCGGCCCGGACGCGGCGCCGGCUUCCGACGCGCCGGGCGCCACCAGGCUGGUCGCGGCCAGCAGCAAGCAUGGGCUUGUGUUUUUCAGCGACCUGCAAGGUGUGCGCGCGGCGAAGGCAUGGUGCUUGAGCUGCGGCAGUCUCGAUCGGGCCGCGCAAUGCUGCCGCUGGGCGUACUGACUGGGUGCCGGACGUAUGACGCCUCUGCCCUAUCCCCCCUUGCCCCCUUGCGCCCCACUCUCGCAGGCGUGUACGCGCUCCGCACGUACGACCUGCCUGCGUUGCUGAGCAAGGCCGUGGGCACUGAGAAAUACGCUCGGCCCCAGCCCGCCGACGUGUGCGCCUGGCACGCCGGCCUGCGCGGCGUGACGGCCGUGUGCCUGUCUGCGGACCAGGCGGUGUUGGCGGCGGUGCAGGGCGGCGAGGGCCGCGUCAGCUUCUUCCCCCUGGCUGCCAUGACUGGCCCCGGCUCCGGCGCGCACUGGAGCCUGGAGCUAGGCAGUGUGCAGUCGUUUGCGUGGAGCAAGAGCGGCGCACUGCCCCAGGCGUUCCUGGCCGUGACCGCGGACCGGGCGCUGGUUCUGGGGCGGUAUGGCGACGCCAGCGCCGCGGUGGUGGUGGCUCCGUCUGGCGUGUAUGCCGCGGACUGGUGUCCCUCGGAUGCGCCUGUGUUUGGCUACAGCACGGGCCGGCGCCUGGCUCUGGUGUCCGUGGCGGCGGACCUGUCUGUGUGCGCGGUGGCUGGCUUGCCGCUUGAGCACCCCGGCGAGGCUGGCGCAGUGUUUGAGAGCGUGUCGUGGGUGCUUCCCGAUGCAUUGGUGCUGGGCGCUACACCGGUGGAGGAGGGCGGCGAUGCGGAGGGCACGGACGAGCUGUGCUGCCUGCUGCAGCUACAGGGCUGGUCUGCGGGCAGCGGCGCGGCGCCGUCUGGCGCUGAGCUGCUGACUGCGCCGCCUGGCUUCGUGGAGGACGACUGCACGCCAUGUCUGUCGGGUCCCUACCUGCACGCGGUGUGCCUGCCCAGCUGGGGCGCCAUCGUGCGUGCGCACCGCAAGGCGUCGGACGACCAUGUGCAGUUGCUGCGCGUGCGCGAGGGCGUGUUCGGGUCUGGCGGCGCGGCGCAGGCGGUUGCGAUCACGGAGGACA
rnacentral:lncRNA from 1 species